GCUGAAGUUCUCUACUAUUAAAGA
rnacentral:sRNA from 1 species